GACGAACGCUGGCGGCGUGCUUAACACAUGCAAGUCGAACGGAAAGGCCCUGCUUUUGUGGGGUGCUCGAGUGGCGAACGGGUGAGUAACACGUGAGUAACCUGCCCUUGACUUUGGGAUAACUUCAGGAAAUUGGGGCUAAUACCGGAUAGGAGCUCCUGCUGCAUGGUGGGGGUUGGAAAGUUUCGGCGGUUGGGGAUGGACUCGCGGCUUAUCAGCUUUUUGGUGGGGUAGUGGCUUACCAAGGAUUUGACGGGUAGCCGGCCCGAGAGGGUGACCGGCCACAUUGGGACUGCGAUACGGCCCAGACUCCUACGGGAGGCAGCAGUGGGGAAUAUUGCACAAUGGGCGGAAGCCUGAUGCAGCAACGCCGCGUGCGGGAUGACGGCCUUCGGGUUGUAAACCGCUUUCGCCUGUGACGAAGCGUGAGUGACGGUAAUGGGUAAAGAAGCACCGGCUAACUACGUG
rnacentral:rRNA from 1 species